rnacentral:tRNA from 1 species
GGCGUGGUGGCGGAGUGGUCUAACGCGCAAGACUAGAAUCUCUUUGAAAUUCUGUAAUCUUGUUCCUUCGGGAGCGUCCGUUCGAAUCGGGCCCACGUCG